GAAAAUGCAGUUCACCUAAUAUGUCAUUUCUUUUGCUUACUAGGAAAAUAAUUAGUAAAACAGAGACGUAUGAUGUGAGUACGAAAGCAAACUUUCCUACCAGAAGCAGCUCAAAGUUCAACAGAGUAGUCAGAUACUGCAGAGACUAAGUCAAAGAAAUAAAAACUGUGAGAAAAAGCAAAAAUCUGUAAAGAAUGAGCAAGCUCAGCAUACAUACCAAUCUAUAUCAAAGAGAAAACAAAUUGCAGUGUGAUUUUAAUGCAAGGGAAAUAGUAACAAUAACCUGGGUAGAUAAAAAAUAUAUUAAAGACUUAUCAAUGAGAAUAGUAAUUGCUGCCAUAGUUCAAACUGCUAUUUGUCUCAUGACCAAUGGUCUCACAGGAAAUGAGAGGGAAUUCCAGAUGUUACUGAAGUAAAUAAAAUGAAGAAGCAAAAUAAAAUAAGAGUGACAAUGAUUAGGAAAAUUAGGAAUAAGUGAAUAAUAGCCUGAAUAUGGAAGGAAGAAAACUGGAAAUCAAGACAUCUCAGCAAAAGAAGAAAUGUACCAGAGUGAAGUUUAUUACUAAUAAGUACACAAUGAUGAUAACCUCAGAACAGAAAGAAGAUUCAAGGUCUCUCGUGGUAAGAAAGGAAAUCAGAAAUUAGUUCUGCCAUUACUGGAGACACAAACAGAUGAAUACCUAUAACCAGAAGGCCACAGAAAACUCAAUCAUAUUCAUGCAUUAAUAAGGCAUUACAACAUACACACAUGGUGCUCAUUAAUGUUUUUCCUCAUAAAAACUCAUCAAGCUUUAUUUGUGCAAUUUUCUAUACCAAGAUGUAAAUGUGUGUGAUAUAUAUGUAGAUAUGUUUGAAUGAAAGAAAGGAGAAAGAGAAAAAAAGUUACAACCCCAUGAGUAUAGGCCCAUGCUAAGGUGUUGGAAGAUGCAACUUUCAAAUGUGUUUAAUAUUAAGUAUGUUUUUAAAAAACUAUUGUACUGUGAACUUUGUAACUUCUCUUUUCACUGAGUAUUGUGGUCACUUUUUUGGUUCUUUUUAAAGUUUAAGCCUUGGGUCCUAGAUUAGAAUUUAACAGAAAAAAAAAGAGUUGUGAAAUGGGAAAGCCCAGAGUUGAUAGCAAAAACAAUUGUAUAAAGUUAUGAGAGAAAUGGCCAAAAACAUAAGUAACCAUGUGACUCAAAAACAAAUCAGUAACAUGAAAUGGAAAAAAAAAAAAAACAAACCUAAGAAAUGGUACUACCUAAAGUAAUAAAUGGUAGUCAAAAUACCCAUCAUCUUUACUUCUAUGUCCUUUUAAGUGUUCCAAGGAAACACAUGAUGUUCCAUCAUGCAAGGAAACGACCUGUCAUGCAAUUCUGAUUGCUUAUAAAUUUUAAUUCCAUUAUUUUUCACUAUCCAUAACUUGAUAAAUAAGGCCACAACUGAAAUCUGAAAGGCAUACUGAAGAUUUGAUAUUUUCUCUCUUUCCUUCCUCAGUGUCUACCUUCUGGUGCUCAGUUCCUUAAAUAAGGAAAAUGAAAAUCCAAAGCUGAAAUACUUCUGACCUCCUAUCAAGUUUCCCACUCCAGGUUGAGGCCCAGGAGGUUAUACCAUCUUUCUUUAUCAUGUUAAGAAACUGGACCUCUGCAACCACCUAUUAAAAACUGCUAGACCCAGGAAUAAAUUCGGUAACUCAGAACUACUCUGUCAAGAGAUAGGACAGAAAACAUUUUCACAUGAACAAAACGGUGAAUCUGAUUAUUUUUCAGAUGUCCGGUGAUCCUGGCCUUAGAUGGAGACCAGAAUUACAAUCCGGAAGGCAGCUAGCAAAACAGAAUCUUAAUUCAAAUAUAUUUGGGGAUUAGUAAAUGUCAAACUGGAGAAGAAAAACUGAUGGGACACUGAAGUACUCUACCUUUUCUGGAUUUCCUGUUUUUCCUCUGGAAGGAACUCAUCACCGCAACAAAGAGAGUAAAAAAGGGAGAAAGAUGGGGUGGAAGGAAAGGAGAGAAAAUAUCAAGACAAAGUAUCAAGUCUUUUGAAUUAUC